AUUUAAGAGGCCUGGUGCUUUUUGAGCUGCUUUGAUGACGUGGCAAUGGCUGGAGGGGAAAAGCAGCGGCACAGCUGCCUGCCAUUGGCCUGGUCUUUUUCACUGUGCUCAGUGUUGUCAUCACGAAGCCUCUCAUGCAGCGCGAUGUCAGGAUGGGCCCAUGCGCGGGUGGAAGGCAUGUGGGGGCCAUGUUGCCAGCUGCGGAUGGACAGGCUUCUGAUAUCAGGCUGUGACAGCACUGUCAUCUCCCAAGAAUCCAGCAUCCGUCUGCAUGGAUUGCAUGCCAUCCUUGAAUCCACUCACUUGCCCAGCCCCUGAACCAACUGAUGAAUGUGGUGAAGUCUUCCCUUCGUCACCCCAGGUGCAGCCACAGCCUCUGCAGCCACCCUGGGGGAGAGACAGCUCCAGGACCUGCUAAGGUGAGGUGUUCUGGAAGGGUCUCUGCUCCUAGCAGUCACUGGCAGCUUGCCCAAAUUGGAGAAGUUUAACAUCUCUUUUCUCUGAGAAGUAAAAUGUGUUUCUUUGGUGGAUGUGAAACCAACAAACCACUGUGGUGCCUCUCUACAUCUGAAGGAUGAGCCAGCCAAGCCAGGGGAACUGACGACCCCACACACGUCUGCACUGCUGUGGCCGUGUUGAACACGGACUCCUUCUUCAGGGCAGCCUUGGGCCAUCGGAGGGCUGCUGUAUGCAGUGACGGCCACCAAGUGUCCUUGGCCAGGGGAGUGAUUUACAGGGACUGAGAUCCUGACUUGUGACCCAGACACGAAUGCAUCCUUGUUCCAUUUUGUUAUUGCUCAACCGUCAUCUGGCCAUCCCCAAAGCCCACCUCUGUGAGAAAGGCCAGUGCUUGUCCUCGUGACACCCCUGAGACCUCGAUGGAGCAAGUCCCAGGAAUUACUGUGAAGUCCAAAUGGGCCCCAAAGCUGCC
rnacentral:lncRNA from 1 species